AAUGCUUGGGAAUAUGCCUUAUGGUGGGGGACAACAGUUGGAAACGACUGCUAAUACCGCAUGAUGUCUACGGACCAAAGUGGGGGACCUUCGGGCCUCACGCCAUAAGAUUAGCCCAAGUGGGAUUAGCUAGUUGGUGAGGUAAUGGCUCACCAAGGCGACGAUCCCUAGCUGGUUUGAGAGGAUGAUCAGCCACACUGGGACUGAGACACGGCCCAGACUCCUACGGGAGGCAGCAGUGGGGAAUAUUGCACAAUGGGCGCAAGCCUGAUGCAGCCAUGCCGCGUGUGUGAAGAAGGCCUUCGGGUUGUAAAGCACUUUCAGUAAGGAGGAAAGGUUAGUCACUAAUAUUGGCUAGCUGUGACGUUACUUACAGAAGAAGCACCGGCUAACUCCGUGCCAGCAGCCGCGGUAAUACGGAGGGUGCGAGCGUUAAUCGGAAUUACUGGGCGUAAAGCGUACGCAGGCGGUUUGUUAAGCGAGAUGUGAAAGCCCCGGGCUCAACCUGGGAACUGCAUUUCGAACUGGCAAACUAGAGUGUGAUAGAGGGUGGUAGAA
rnacentral:rRNA from 1 species